CAAUCCACUGACUAGUGGUCAUUAUAUCAGACACACCAAUCCACUGAAUAGUGGUCAUUAUGUUAGACACACCAAUCCACUGACUAGUGGUCAUUAUAUCAGACACACCAAUCCACUGAAUAGUGGUCAUUAUGUUAGACACACCAAUCCACUGACUAGUGGUCAUUAUAUUAGACACACCAAUCCACUGAAUAGUGGUCAUUUUGUUGGACACACCAAUCCACUGAAUAGUGGUCAUUAUAUUAGACACAUCAAUCCACUGACUAGUGGUCAUUAUAUUAGACACACCAAUCCACUGAAUAGUGGUCAUUAUGUUAGACACACCAAUCAUCUGAAUAGUGGUCAUUAUAUCAGACACACCAAUCCACUGACUAGUGGUCAUUAUGUUAGACACAUCAAUCCACUGAAUAGUGGUCAUUAUAUCAGACACACCAAUCCACUGACUAGUGGUCAUUAUAUUAGACACACCAAUCCACUGACUAGUGGUCAUUAUAUUAGACACACCAAUCCACUGGCUGUCCGGGUCUCUCACAGGGUGUUUCAUAGUUAUGUAUGGAUAUGAAAGAUGACAACAGCAGUUUGACAGUUAAGUAUAUUGUCACACUGUCAGCCCUGAUGAUAGCGAUUGCCAAUAUUCACUACGUGUCAGACAGGCUCUGCAGCAGAGUCAGAUGGUCAGGUGGCCCAGUGGUGGGAGGUGUCCCUACUUCAUGUGAUGUUUGCUUCUAGACUGCUGUCACGGGUUUGAACUGAUUAUGACCCUCAGUGAGUCAUCUGUUGUGCUCAUGGAUGUCACCAGUAAACAGUUACAUCAGGGAGAUCAGGAUGUCACCAGUAAACAGUUACAUCAGCGAGAUCAGGAUAUCAUAGCGUUUGGUGUUGUAUUACCAGCAGAAUGAACCACUGUAUAACGUGUUUAGAGGGGGACAAGUGAUCAAUCUCAGAAGAUGAAGAUGUAUCAUGAUAAACUGCUGAUCUGCAACGACUCCGUGAUAUUUCAUAUUGAUUCUGUUAGACAUGGCAGUUGUUACUUGUUUGGCUGCAGGGUUCAUGUAUGACUAAAAGACACUGAUAAAAUACCCUCAGGUUUCUAGUGUAA